CGUGGGUAAUUUACCUUUGGGUGGGGAAUAACAGUCGGAAACGACUGCUAAUACCGCAUAAUGCAGCGGCAGCUCAUGCUGACAGUUGUUAAAGCGGGGGAUCGCAAGACCUCGCGCUACCGGAUGGGCCCGCGCCCGAUUAGCUAGUUGGUGAGGUAACGGCUCACCAAGGCUUCGAUCGGUAACCGGCCUGAGAGGGCGAUCGGUCACACCGGAACUGAGACACGGUCCGG
rnacentral:rRNA from 1 species